rnacentral:rRNA from 1 species
GACGAACGCUGGCGGCGUGCUUAACACAUGCAAGUCGAACGGAAAGGCCCUGCUUGCAGGGUACUCGAGUGGCGAACGGGUGAGUAACACGUGGGUGAUCUGCCCUGCACUUCGGGAUAAGCCUGGGAAACUGGGUCUAAUACCGGAUAGGAGCCAUUUUUAGUGUGAUGGUUGGAAAGUUUUUUCGGUGUAGGAUGAGCUCGCGGCCUAUCAGCUUGUUGGUGGGGUAAUGGCCUACCAAGGCGGCGACGGGUAGCCGGCCUGAGAGGGUGGACGGCCACAGUGGGACUGAGAGACGGCCCAGACUCCGACGGGAGGCAGCAGUGGGGAAUAUUGCACAAUGGGCGCAAGCCGGAUGCAGCGACGCCGCGUGGGGGAUGACGGCCUUCGGGUUGGAAACUCCUUUCGCUAGGGACGAAGCUUUUUGUGACGGUACCUAGAUAAGAAGCACCGGCUAACUACGUG